ACAAACGUAAACACUUACACUGCCACCUGGUGGUGUCAGAAAGGAAAAACUCCUUUACCCAUUACAUAGAAAUUUCAAGAUGGCGGAGAACACACCUGAAAAGUCAGACAGUCACAUGAGACCAAAACGUCCUCAAGAGUGUAUUCCUCUGUCAAAGGCACUGGAAUUAGUACUGGAGUCAAUUGCUGGGGACACAUCUCAGAGGUAGAGGACUUAUCUGACAUUGAUGACCCCAUAGAGGAUGUUAAUUAUUAUCCUCCACAACAGGAGCCAAGCAGAAGUGAGGAGAAGAGUAGUGGGGAUGAAGACCCCACUCCACAGUCCACUGUGGCUAGCCGGGGCCGUGGUGAAACCUAUUGUUGCCCAGACCAUAGCAAUGCCAUUUCACGCACUCCCAGACACCAGACCCAGCGGGUUGAUGGCUCAAACAAUGACCCUAAAGAGCUAACACCAGGACCAAGCUUUCAAGGACAACCCAAGCAAGGACGAGGAGUGCGCUGGAGGGCUGCUCAACUUACCCCAAACCUAGCCCAGUUUGAGCCUGAGAAGGAAACUGAGCAGGACAGAGAAAUAUGUGUCUAUCAGACGAACAAAUAUUGUUCAUGAAUACAACCACAAGAUGGGUGGGGUUGACCUCACAGACAGGAUGAUCAGCUACCAUACCAAGAAGUGGACUCUUCAGAUGCUCAUGCACUUCACAGAUGUUGCUUUAGCCAACAGUUGGCUACCGUACCGCCAAGACCACACAGUACGUGGCACACCAAGAAAUGGCAUGAUGCAAUUUCUUGAAUUUUGAAUGGAAGUGGCUAAGACAUUCUUGGCCCAACAUAACAAUACACAGAAAGACAGUACAGACCUCUCAGAACAGAAAGACAACACAGACCAUUUAGAGCCAAAGAAAAAGCGCCCUGUGAAGGAAGUGCCUCACAUCUCAGUCCGCAGAAGGGCUAAUGCACAUCUUCCAGAGGUGGUCAACCUGAAGAAUGCAGCACGCUGCAGAGUGGCAGGCUGUUCUGGGAAAACUCGAGUCUGUUGUGUAACAUGCAAGGUGUUCUUGUGCUUGCUAACUAAACGCAACUGUUACACAGUCUUUCACAACGGUUAAACGUGAUCAACUGUUCCCACAGACAAAAAGGACAUUCCAAGUUUGGAGUAAUUUAAGUUUUAGAGUGUUAUAAAAAAGCAAAAGCGAAACAUAAACAAAUGGUCAAGGAUUUUUGGAUAUGAUAGCUUGUUUCUUACAAAUGUUGUUUUUCCAUAUCCAUGUUCAGAAGUUGAAACAGUUAUAUAUGCAACAGUAACAAUGAAAAAUGUUCAGGCACAGUG